rfam:Hordeum vulgare subsp. vulgare, WGS project CAJW01000000 data, contig: morex_contig_1614205
UAUGUACUCACUUCGUUCCAAAAUAUUUAUCUUAGAUUCGUAUAGAUAUGAAUGUAUCUAGUCACGGUUUAGUAUUUAAAUAUACUCAUUUCUAUAUAAAACUAAGACAAAAAUUUUAGAACGGAGGAAGUACUUA